rnacentral:misc_RNA from 1 species
AAGUCGUAACAAGGUUUCCGUAGGUGAACCUGCGGAAGGAUCAUUAUUGAUUUUUAAAGCAAACCGAGCUUUUUUUUAAAAGUAAGGUUUUGCGAAUAUAUUUAAAACCCCACUCUUUUAAAUAAAAUUUUUCAUUCAUAUAUUAUGAAAAUUAAAAGAUCACUUUCAACAACGGAUCUCUUGGCUCUC